rnacentral:rRNA from 1 species
UAAACCUACGGGGGGCAGCAGUGGGGAAUAUUGCACAAUGGGGGAAACCCUGAUGCAGCAACGCCGCGUGAGUGAAGAAGGUUUUCGGAUUGUAAAGCUCUGUUAGCAGGGAAGAGGAAGGACGGUACCUGACUAAGAAGCUCCGGCUAAAUACGUGCCAGCAGCCGCGGUAAUACGUAUGGAGCAAGCGUUAUCCGGAUUUACUGGGUGUAAAGGGAGCGCAGACGGCAAGGCAAGUCUGAUGUGAAAGUCCGAGGCUCAACCUCGGGACUGCAUUGGAAACUGUCUGGCUAGAGUGCAGGAGA